rnacentral:lncRNA from 1 species
CUCUCUGCAGGACUCUCUCCCAGGGCUAACGGUUCCUCUGUCUCUUGUCAAGGUGGGUGUCGAAAGCGAAAGCAGCAGGAAGCCGUUGCCAGCAGCACGGGCCAAGAAGAGGGCUAGUGCAGAGUCAGGCAAACCAGUCUAUCAUUUUGACUUCUCUUCUAGUCAAAAUUCUGGUUGCAAACGGCGAAAAAUUAGUGAACCGAAAAAGAAAAAAUAGAUACAAGUUUCCUUGCUGUUUCAUUUUCCGUUCCUUUCUGCAGCUUGUUAAAGGAAGAAUAUAUUUUAAUAAGUUAAUAAUAUUGAAUGUUCUUCAAAGCUUUUAUUUACAGUAAAAAAUACAGGGUUUUAAUAACUAGAUUUGAUAAAAUUCAGUAGAAUAAAACUCACGUUUUGCCUUGAGGAAAAAAGAUGCUGGAAAUAUUUCAGUAUGAAACUUGGCAUGGCAAAAAUAAAAUAAAAUAUUAUAACAUAAAACAAUAAAAUAAAAUAAGACUUACAUAGGCAAGUUCAAACUGAUUUGAACUGGAUCUGAAGAAAACUAAAAGAAGUUGCUUUAUUCUAAUAAAAUAUAAUUCAUUUUAAUGUUGACACAAUAGUCUGUAUGUUAAUAUUUUCUGAAGUUCUCAGCACAUAUUCUUCCAGAGUGUGAAAAUGUAUUUCAUUCCCCUAGAAGUUUUAAAAUUCAGGUCAGGGACAUGAAUUUUAAAAUUUGAAAUGAUUAAAUUUUCUACUACAAAAUUUAGAAUAUUGGGAUUUUCCCUAGUAUUUAUCAAUUUUUUGAAACAGCUGGAUACAGUUUUUUUUAAAAGCAGUUGAUAUGUUCAGUGUGUUGGCGAAGGCUUUCAUGGCCGGAAUCACUGGGUUGUUGUGAGUUUUCCGGGCUGGAUGGUCAUGUUUCAGAAGCAUUCUCUCCUGACGUUUCACCCACAUCUAUGGUAGGAGUCCUCAGAGGUUGUGAGGUCUGUUGGAAACUAGGCAGGUGUGGUUCAUUCUCCCAUCCUGGACAUUCCACAGAUAUAUAAACCCCAGUUGCCUAGUUUCCAACAGACUCCUCUACCUCUGAGAAUGCCUGCCA